CCUACGGGAGGCAGCAGUGGGGAAUAUUGCGCAAUGGGCGAAAGCCUGACGCAGCGACGCCGCGUGAGGGAUGAAGGUCUUCGGAUCGUAAACCUCUGUCAGCAGGGAAGAACGGUCACUGUGCUAAUCAGCAGUGAAUUGACGGUACCUGCAAAGGAAGCACCGGCUAACUCCGUGCCAGCAGCCGCGGUAAUACGGAGGGUGCGAGCGGUAAUCGGAAUUACUGGGCGUAAAGCGCUCGUAGGCGGGAUGUUAAGUCUAGGGUGAAAUCCCCGGGCUCAACGUGGGAACUGCCUUUGAAACUGGCAAACGGGAGUGGGUGAGAGGAUAGUGGAAGGCGAGGUGUAGGAGUGAA
rnacentral:rRNA from 1 species